rnacentral:rRNA from 1 species
AUCGGCUACAGAACGAACGCUGGCGGCAUGCCUAACACAUGCAAGUCGAACGAGACCUUCGGGUCUAGUGGCGCACGGGUGCGUAACGCGUGGGAAUCUGCCCUUUGCUUCGGAAUAACAGUUAGAAAUGACUGCUAAUACCGGAUGAUGUCUUCGGACCAAAGAUUUAUCGGCAAAGGAUGAGCCCGCGUAGGAUUAGGUAGUUGGUGGGGUAAAGGCCUACCAAGCCGACGAUCCUUAGCUGGUCUGAGAGGAUGAUCAGCCACACUGGGACUGAGACACGGCCCAGACUCCUACGGGAGGCAGCAGUGGGGAAUAUUGGACAAUGGGCGCAAGCCUGAUCCAGCAAUGCCGCGUGAGUGAUGAAGGCCUUCGGGUCGUAAAGCUCUUUUACCAGGGAUGAUAAUGACAGUACCUGGAGAAUAAGCUCCGGCUAACUCCGUG